GUCCACGCCGUAAACGAUGUCAACUAGCCGUUGGGCACCUUAGUGUGCUUGGUGGCGCAGCUAACGCGAUAAGUUGACCGCCUGGGGAGUACGGUCGCAAGAUUAAAACUCAAAUGAAUUGACGGGGGCCCCGCACAAGCGGUGGAGCAUGUGGUUUAAUUCGACGCAACGCGAAGAACCUUACCAGGUCUUGACAUCCAGAGAAGUCGCUAGAGAUAGCUUCGUGCCUUCGGGAACUCUGAGACAGGUGCUGCAUGGCUGUCGU
rnacentral:rRNA from 1 species